GAUGCUAAAAGAAUGGAAAUUUAAAAAAAAAACUUUUUUAAAAGUAAAAAUUGAAUUUUUUUUAAUUUGUGCAAAAACAAUUAUAUUUAUUAAAGACAAGAAGACCCUAAGAAUUUAAGAUUUUACAAUUAAAAAGUUUUUUUUUAAAAUCUUGAUUGGGGCGAUCAAAAAAUAUUAAUAACUUUUUAAAAUUUAAAUUGAUCUAUUAUUAAUAAACUAAUGAAUUAAAUACUCUAGGGAUAACAGCGUAAUAAUUUUUGAUAGAUCUUAUUGACAAAAUAGUUUGCGACCUCGAUGUUGGAUUAGGAUUCUUUUUUAAUGAAGAAGUUAAAAAAAGAAGUUUGUUCAACUUUUAAAUUCCUACAUGAUCUGAGUUCA
rnacentral:rRNA from 1 species